rnacentral:rRNA from 1 species
AUGGGUUUGCUUCCAACUCCUAAGCAAGUCUACGGUCGGACGCCACGGUAUCUAAAGAACAUCAAUAUGACUAGAACUGAUGGAUCACCAUAUGAAGUUGAACAUGACGUUUGGGAGGCAAUAGCAAAGAUGCAGGAGCAUAUAAAAAAGCAAGACCAGAUUAUUAAAGAUAUGAAUAACAAAGAAGGCCAUGUCAAUAAUGGCAUAGAAGAGGAAAACCUCCAAUCAAAUGAUAAUGGUAUUUCUCGCUCACCACUACUGCUUGGUAAAACAAAGAGAAUCCAGUGCAAUGGACCCGUUGAGGCAUGCUCGUCUAUGCAACAUGACAUUCCUAAGGAUACUAAUUUAUCACGUUCGCAUGAAAAGGUUGGCGACCAUGAUGUCAACCAAUUACAAAUUCUACAAAAUUCAUCAUCACCACAAGACCUUGUUAUUGAUUCUGUGCUAGAGGUGAUGGAAACGAGGAAUAUUACGGGUGAAUCUGUUUCAAGACCAAACCAGCAAAGGACUAGAACUGAACACCCACACCGCUCAAAAAGAAGGCGUUCUUCUUCCAUCAAGGUUGCUUCCAAAGUAGUCUUAAAGACUUCAACAUAUCCCAACAAGCGGAAUGUUGCGUAUGGUACUAUUCGGAGUACUGAUCCAAGAACAAAGGCUGGUGGUAUUGAGUUAGGUGUUGAAUUUGCUCUUGUGCGCAUAGACGAACCUAUUCUUGAUAAUGAGGAGUUGGUAAGGGAAGUUUCUGAUUGCAAGACAAUUGGCGAGGCUUUCACUUCAGGAUACUUAAUUGACUGGCCUUCAGCUUUUAUUCGAGAGAAGGAUGGUUGA